CCUACGGGUGGCAGCAGUGGGGAAUAUUGGACAAUGGGCGAAAGCCUGAUCCAGCCAUGCCGCGUGUGUGAAGAAGGCCUUCGGGUUGUAAAGCACUUUCAGUGGGGAAGAAAGCCUUGGGGCUAAUACCCUCGAGGAAGGACAUCACCCACAGAAGAAGCACCGGCUAACUCCGUGCCAGCAGCCGCGGUAAUACGGAGGGUGCGAGCGUUAAUCGGAAUUACUGGGCGUAAAGCGCGCGUAGGCGGUCUGAUAAGCCGGUUGUGAAAGCCCCGGGCUCAACCUGGGAACGGCAUCCGGAACUGUCAGGCUAGAGUGCAGAAGAGGAAGGUAGAAUUCCCGGUGUAGCGGUGAAAUGCGUAGAGAUCGGGAGGAAUACCGGUGGCGAAGGCGGCCUUCUGGACUGACACUGACGCUGAGGUGCGAAAGCGUGGGUAGCAAACAGGAUUAGAUACCCUAGUAGUC
rnacentral:rRNA from 1 species